UGUGUGUGUGUGUGGGAGUAUGUGGCGUUGCUUCGUGGAAUCAAGACGUUCCGUGACAAGGAUGGCUUGUCACUAUCACCACCACGACCACCACCACCAACACCCUGACGACGCCGCACCACGCUGCCGCCGCCGCCUCCACCACCACCACCACCAACAUCCGGUGUAGUUAUGGCUGGCAGCGUCUGUGCCACACUGGCGUGAAACUUAUGCAUCUGGCAACAACUUAAGAUUACAUGUCAUUAAGUACGGGUUCCAGGACAUCAGGACAAGCUUGGGAAUGCACAGGCAGCCCCCACAAGCACAAGGAUGGUUGCUUAGAGAGCAGAGCCAACAUUUGAUAUAGAAGCAUCAGCAGGUGGCUGGGAGGUGAAGGGUGUGCAUACAAGGUGCAGGAGUGAGGAGUGGCUGACAGAUGCUCUUCUCCUCCUGCCAAGACAAAAACUUGCACGGGAAGCCCAGACAGACACACAGAUGCACACAUUGGAGGCCGCGUUGCUCCAAGGGGAGAUGGAGGGGUGACUACAGUAUGUGCACAGGCAACCAACCAACCAAAUGUCAUUCUUCCCACCCUUUAUUAUAAAAAACAUAAGUACAAACAGGCACUUCAAAAAUAUAUUUACAAAACAAAUAUGCAAUUUAUUAGAACUUUCUUCAUAGCUUUUUGUUGGGGUCAUAGUUCUCAAACUUCCACUUUUGCCGACCCUCCUCCAGACUGCAGUCCUCCAUGACAAGCUUCUUACGGUCCUGUGAGAUGGCCAGGCACUUCUUGCUGCUGCCGUGGAUGAUGCGGUUCGUCUGAAAGGUUGUGACUGGCAGUGGAGUGGUGUGCUGUGGAUUGCUCACCUCUGGGCUAUACUCCCAGUACUGGUUUCCCUUGGAGCCAUGGCACGGGUACAGGAUCACAUCACUGCCAGCGUAGUCCAUGCAGGCUUCAUCUCGCCGGAUCUC